GACGAACGCUGACGGCGUGCUUAACACAUGCGAGUCGAACGGAAAGGCCCUGCUUUUGUGGGGUGCUCGAGUGGCGAACGGGUGAGUAACACGUGAGUAACCUGCCCUUGACUUUGGGAUAACUUCAGGAAACUGGGGCUAAUACCGGAUAGGAGCUCCUGCUGCAUGGUGGGGGUUGGAAAGUUUCGGCGGUUGGGGAUGGACUCGCGGCUUAUCAGCUUGUUGGUGGGGUAGUGGCUUACCAAGGCUUUGACGGGUAGCCGGCCUGAGAGGGUGACCGGCCACAUUGGGACUGAGAUACGGCCCAGACUCCUACGGGAGGCAGCAGUGGGGAAUAUUGCACAAUGGGCGGAAGCCUGAUGCAGCAACGCCGCGUGCGGGAUGACGGCCUUCGGGUUGUAAACCGCUUUCGCCUGUGACGAAGCGUGAGUGACGGUAAUGGGUAAAGAAGCACCGGCUAACUACGUG
rnacentral:rRNA from 1 species